UGCUGGGAGUUGUAGUUCUCAGGGACCGUUUCCGUCGGUUCUCAGGAGGUGGGAAGGGAUGAAUUAGCAUCUCUAACCCCUGAAAGCGGCGGUGAGGGUUCGGGAAGCAACACAGCUCUAGCCCCCACACUUGCUGAAUUCCCUAGGAAGAGUAGCUCUAUUUGUGCGUGUACCUCUGAGCGAGUGUGUCCUUGUUGGCUGGCGUGUGGGUAGGUGUCACUGUGUGAGAAACAGAACCUCCGUGGUCUGGUGAAUGGGACCUGACCCAGGCUGGAACCCUUGCUCUGCCUCGGAGGCUGUGUGGCAUUGGUUGGUUAAGUUCCUGAACCUUUUUGAAACUCAGUUUCAUGGGCCAUAAAAUGUAGCUGAUGACAUGAUCUUCCUGUCCUAAUAAUCAAAGGGGAAAGGGGUGUAAAAUGCCAGUCCACCCUGGGUGCUCAGCGAGUGCUGCACAUGUUGCCUUUUUUUGUUUGUUUUCUCCCACUUGGAAAAGUUUUUUGUUUGUUAUUUCACGUUGCCCUUUUUCCAAGUGAGGUGGACCUGGAGCACGAACCUAGGGCUCCCUCCCGCAUAGGGACGAGGCUGGGCAGCCCUCAGUGACCCUCCUCCCCACCAGGGACUUCUGAUAACUGCGGAGGAUGAGAGGUCUCUCUACAAGCCAGGUCUCUCCACAAGCCUGGGCUAGGCCUGUUCUGGUCCCACUUCACGCCACAGUGACUUCUGACAGGUUGUGUUCUGUGUCUUUUUUUUUUUUUUGUAUAUGGAGUUACUUUUAAAAAACUGUACAUAUAGGCAUGAGCCACCGCACCCAGCCUGUCUUGCUUG
rnacentral:lncRNA from 1 species